AAAAAAAAGAAAAGAAAAGAAGAAAAAGAAAAAGAGCCACUUUCCUUGGUGACUAAGACCCCCAGAGGCUUUGGGGGAGAUGCGGUUUCUGGUGACUCGUUCAACAUUUAUGGAAUCAGCACACAAACGUCAGGGACCGUGUUAGCCUUUGUGCAGAAGUAAAGGACCAUCUCUUUUCUUACGGAUUUCUCUGCCCAGCCCAGUGUGCUUCAGUGACGUCUCCAAACGACAGGCACAGGAGUAAUAGUUGCUUCAGAAAUAAUUGCUGCUUUGAAGUCUCUGGGUAUGCAUAUUUCUGAAGUCCAGGCAAAAACAAUUCUGAGCAGCAUGGAUACUGAUGGGUCAAUGACAGUAGACUGGGAUGAAUGGAAGUACUACUUUUUACUGCAUCCUGCAAUAAAUAUCACUGAAAUUAUUCAUUUCUGGAAGCGUUCUACUGUAAGAUUACUUUGUAUUUUACUUUGUUUUUAUUUUGUUCUAAAUGUCAUAGCUGUUAUGAUAAUAUCACCCCUACAAUCCUUGCAGCCUCAGGGGCUAAACUUACAAUAUUUCCCCCCAAUAAUGUUCUGCUAAUUUAAUGAGGGGUAUUAGUAUUACGUGUAUAAACAUAGCAACCAGUUUCUUUGUUUGCCAAAACCUAGAACUCAACAUCCUAAUCUACCUGUUGAAAGUGCCUACUUUGUGUUAAGAAUUAAUUUCCAUGACAUAGUAUUUAGAUCGUCCUAGAAAAGUAAAAAAUAAUAUAUUUUUCUUUUUUCACAGAUAUGCUGUAUCUGAUUGGGUCUUCUGUCAUAGAAAACGUAAAGUCAAAUAUUAGGAUUUGAAAAUUUUAGAACCAGAAAGGGUCAAAUAUUUAAUAAUCUACCUGCUCAUGUUAUAUAAGCACUUGACUUGGAGUUGUAACAAGGAGAUGUUGUAAUUGAAGACUUUGUUUCCUUUUGCAGAUCUCAGGUGUAGGGGUUAAGUUAAUUAUUUUUUCAUGGCAUACUAUUCUCAUUCACCCUCCUGAGUUUUUGCCUCCUCUCCAUAGAGAACAUAGGGGAAGCAAAGAGUACAGGCUCUGGACUGCCUGGGCUUGAAUUCCACAUCUGCCACCCACUUGCUAUAUCAACCUCUCUGUGCAUCAUUUUCCUCAGUUAUAUAGUAGAGAUAAAAAUGAUAAACGUUUUGAGAAUUAGUACAUUAGUUAGUAUAUUUAAAACAGGGCUGAGCACAUAAGUGUUCAAUACAUGUUAGUUGUUAUGAUAGGCACUUAUUCUAUCUAAUAUGUUUCAUUUGUGUUCUAGGAUAUUUAUAUAUUUACAUAUUCUUAGGAUGCAUGUAGUAUUGUUUCACACAUGUGUUUUUGAUUUGUAUAGCUAGUGUUGUGCUAGAGGCCACAUCUGAUUUCUUACUUUAUGAUUUGUCCUUGACGUUAUAUGCUCAUCUAAUCUAUUGCUUCUAACAGACUCAUAGUAUGAACUUAUUACUUCUUUCUUGUCUAUUCGCCAAGAAAUGGACAUCUAUUUUUUUCUCCAACUUCACCCAUAAAAAAUGCUUUCCUUUUAUGUACUUUAGAGAAUUUCACACAGUUUUGUAAGUCAGAGGGAAUACAUUUUACAACUGCUAAGGUAUCCAGAUUCAAUUUUGUUUUAAUUUCAUGAAAUAUUGCCAUAUUUUUUUUUCCAGAAUGGCUAGCUGUAGCAAUUCACACUCCUGCCAGAAUGUAUGAAGGUUCCCAUUUCUUUAUGUGUUGUUUAUUACUUGGUAUUAUUCAGUUUUACAGUAUUUGCUGUUCUGUUGGGCAUAAAGUAGAAUUUCAUUGUUUUAACAUGCAUCUCCUUGAUUCCUAGUACAUUCUGAACAUCUCUUCAUAGGAAGAUGAUAUUCACAUGUUCUUUUCUAUGAAUUGUCUGUUUAUAUGCUUUAUCUAGUUUUUUAUGGAUUUUCUAUCAUGUCCCUAACGUUUCAUAAGAGUUACAUAUUUUCUUAGAUAGUAAUCUUUGGUGUACUCAGACUUGCACAUAUUUUUUCUAACAUGCCAUUUGUCUGUUGUUUCUUUGUUUUGUCCAUGAUAUUCCUGGUUAAACAGAAAUCUUUGAUUUUUGGUAAGUAAAUCCACAAAAUAUGUAAUGGUUUACAAUUUUGGUAUCUUAUUUAAGAAGUACUUUCAUACCGCUUGGUCACAAAGAUGUUCUCAAUCUUCUAUUAAGUCUAUGGUUUCUGCUUUUACAUUUAGGCCUUUAAUGCAUCUGUUAGUUCAGAUUUCUGUACGAUUAAAAGCAGGGCUCUGAUUUUAUUGUUUUUAUAUGUAGAGGGAAUUUUCUCACACAUCAAGCUUCCAUAAAUACUUGAAUAUUUUCUUGAGCUCUCUUUUCUGUUCCAUUGUUUUUUUUUUUUUUAAUGCCAGUAUUGAACUGUCUUUAUGACUAUGGUUGUGUAGUAUAAUACUGACCUGGUAAAUCUGGUAAAUACUUCCUCUUUG